UACGGAGGGUGCAAGCGUUAUCCGGAUUUACUGGGUUUAAAGGGUGCGUAGGUGGGCAGGUAAGUCAGUGGCGAAAUCUUCAAGCUUAACUUGGAAACUGCCAUUGAUACUAUUUGUCUUGAAUUAUCUGGAGUAAGCGGAAUAUGUCAUGUAGCGGUGAAAUGCUUAGAUAUGACAUAGAACACCCAUUGCGAAGGCAGCUUACUACGGAUAUAUUGACACUGAGGCACGAAAGCGUGGGGAUCAAACAGG
rnacentral:rRNA from 1 species